rnacentral:lncRNA from 1 species
GAACCUCUACCUACCUAAGUCUCCUCAUUGUCUCGUCCUUCUCUCAACAGUCUCUGGAGCAAAGGCUACACAGCGCCAACCACUCGUUGCAAGCCACGCCCAACAGCACCAUCCAUAGCCUGGCCCCUGCUACCCACGCCCCAUUGGUGGACCUGUGGGGGGCGGGACAGACAGAGUCCUAUCAAGCGGAUAUUGGAGGGUACAACAUAGGCGUGGCAGCGGUGGUGGAGGCGGCUUUGAAUGUUCCGUCUGGGGAUGAGGGGGCGGGGACAGAACAUUCCCCUCUGCUGGAGCAGCAAGAGGAGGAAGAUGAACUGAAGGACGAGGAGGUGACACUCUGCAUGGAGCCGGAGUCUGCCACUCUAACACAGAGAGAUGAAGCCAUCACCUCCGGGGGCAGUAGUCCUGGGCAACGUAGUCCGGGGCAACCACCAGCACAGCAAAUCACAGAGCGGAAGGCCUCUGAUGUCAGCUGUGGAGCCAUCCAGAUGCUGGAGGAGAAGGAAGAGAAGCAGGGGUCCACUGUUGCUGCUAUGGCAACCAACUGAUUGACAGAUCGUUCUGAGAAACGUGACAGACUGACCCUCGGCGUCAGGAAUGACUGAGCCUAAUAAUUAAAUAUUUAUCAAUAAAUAUGUUCCUUUUCAGGUAUCAAACACAUUUUUGAUGGGAUAUAAACUCUUGUGACCACUGAAGAGCAGAGGAGGAAGAUUUGGAAACAGAGUCACGUAGUGACAUCAGCUGGUCCAACGGACAACUUUUUUUUGGAAGCCUUACAUUCCCAGAGAGAAGGAGGAGGGAGGGCUGAAUAGAGGGAGGGAGAAAAGACUGAGCGAGAAAAAGGAGGUAUGAGGGGAUGAUAAGAAGAAGAGGAGCAGCUGAGAUUGAGACAUUUGUAUCAGGAAGAGGAAACGGAGGAGGAGGGAAUUGAAACAUGCAUGCUUUUUAAACAAACGACUUUAUCCAGUCAAAGGUCAAGGUCAAAUAUGAUAAUGAUCAUUAAAUCUAUAGUAAUAAAACGUUAUCAUGACAACAAUGAUUUUCUAACAAAGAAAACAAUCAUGACAACACAAAAAUCUAUGUAUAAGUGUAUGAUAAAAGAAUAUAUAUCAAAAUCACUGUUUUUACAACACUAUCUCUCCAUUGGAGAACUACUCUGUUUACAGCUUACACUCAACACAUCAUAUAGAAUAAUAUCAACCCCAUAACUUGAAGAACAGAAACACUCACACGUUAUACCCUCUCCUCUUAUGUCAUUCACAUCUAGCAUCCACAACACUUAUAGAACUAACUGCACGAAUACAGAGCAACUUUAGUAGGUUGAGUUCAUCAUAACCCCCUAAAAAUUACACCUAUUCGAUUAUCCUCAAAAAUGAUUUAAAUCCAAAUUGGCUCUCUGCAACCUAACCACUGCAGUGAAAUCUACUUGAACCCUCCUAACACAGUUAGAAAGACAACAAUGUUACUAUGUUGCUGUGUUCUCCAGAUGUCCAAGGCACAUAAAGGCUGCAGGCCUGUUGGCCACACACACAGCACUGCACAGUUAAAGGAAUGUACUAUACAGUAAGAUAGUGUGCUUCCUACUCUGUCUUUCCGUAUGUUUCUUCAGAAUAUUAUGGAGUACCUGUCCUAUAUUGAACUGUAUAGACUUUGCACUGAACCUAGGACACGGCUGGUGCUGGGCCAGAGAAGACUCAGGGCAUGGAGCUCCUUGUAGUCUGCUUGACUGUGCAUCAUGACUGACAGGUCCGUGUCAUGGAGUGAAUGGUGAAGAGACAGAGCUGUAGUAGUGAAUCCCUUUGCACUGAUGCCAUCCAACAGAUCAGAGGCUGCCUUUGGACUCUGUCACACUUCAAUGUCCUUGAUUACUGUUCAGAAAGAGCUCUUAGCAUCACCAAGAACCAAAACAGAACCACUAGACAAGAUGGAUUCUGAGCUGUUGUUCCAGGUUCCAAACUAGAGAUGGCUGGAGGAAGAGGGAGUGCUCUGGAAUGUUUUGGUACCAACAGAAAGAGGAUUUAGAUGUGCUUCUGUUUUAACCCAGAUUGUUGUUUUGAUGUCAGCUCUUGGGGACAAUACCAAGCUUUUCUUUGUGGAGAAAAGAUGAGGAGCAAAUGUUUCUCUGAAAGGUUAGAGCUGUUUGAAUUGGGUGCUGAUUCUUAGAAGGGAAAAAACACAUCUUCAAAAUUGUAACUAAUUAAUGAGGAGCCAAACACAGGUCUCCUAAACGGCUUGUGGCCACGACUGUCAUAUAGAUGUAAAUACUAAUGAGAGAGGAUAUACACCAUCUCUCACAGUCCCCACUGCAACAGUUUCUUUAUUUUCUACACGUCUCAGUCCCAGCUCUUUCCUUUGGGAAUCUUCCUGAGCUCCCAAAUUCAGCGUAUUGCGUUUAGAUUUGUUUCUAUCACCACACAAGUAAAAGGAAAAGGAUAGUGGAAUGUCAACAUUGUAAAUAGUGUGAUCAUUCAAAUAUCGGAUAUCGGAAUACUGUUGUAAAAUAAUGCAAAGGACCUACUUUGACUGGGUUUAAGGAGAACAUUGAAGUCAAUCAGGGAAUAGAACUGAAUACUAGAACCAAACACUAGAACCGAACAGAACCGGUAUCUUCCUGCUCAUGGUGACUACAGCGAUGGAGCAGAACUCUGCCUGAGUCAAGUGUGACGUUUGAGUUAGCGUGUGUAUUUCCUGAAGAGGAAAGUGUGUAUCCCAACGGAGGAAUGGUAGUGAAGUUCAGAGACAUGAUAGAAUAGUGGAUUUUUGGAGAUACUGGUCUGGAAUAUCUGUGCAUGUGUCACUAAUAAAAACAACAACAAUAGCAGUUAUUAUUAUUAGUAUUCUUAUUCAUAUCAUUAUGAAUAUUAUUAGGAAUAUUUUUAUUAUGUGACGGAGAACAACCUCCUUUCACUCUGAUGAUUGUGUGAAAAAACUUUUAAGAUAGAAAAAAGGUUUAUUGACUUGAAUUCAUGAACUUAUUGAUUGAUUAUUUAUGCAAUGUUGGAACAAUGUUUAUUUUUCUACUGAAUGAUUGACACCCCCUCCAGUAUAAGACAGAAUAUGUGUGGUUGAUGUAGAGCAGUUUCCUGUUGGUUGGGGCUCUCUCUGAUUGGACAAACAGACAGUGAUAAUAAUACCCUAGGCCAGGGGUGGACACUUCUGGAGGGCUUCAUUGUGGCCACAAUUAAUUGUAAUCAGUUGUGUUAAAGCUGGGCUGGAACAAAACCCUGCACACACUGACUGCAUCCCUCCAGGACAAGGGUUAGGGUUAUGGUUACCCACCUCUUCCCUGGAGCUGUCCAUCAUGAAACACACAAUGAUGUCAUUUAUAUAGUCAUAACCAGUCAUGAAGAUUCAUGUCACAGCUGCCAUGAUCACCCAGGCAAUGACAACGCAACCUCAACCACACAACUUCCUUUAGGCUACUAGUCAUAAGUGUCCAUCAGCUGUCAUGACACGUAUGACGUGUCUGCAAGACAGGAUGCAUAUUGGUGUUAGAACUAACCAAGGCUAGGAGUCUAUCCUGACCACGUCACCUGACCAGGAUAGACUCAGCGCCCCUACUUCUAACAGAUGGUUCUGGUGAGCUGCAACCUUGUGGUGUUCUUCAGUUUGUGUUACGCAUUAGCCUUCACCUGUCUGUCUCAGACUGGCUCUGAGAGCUACAACCUACAGGAUGUCUUUACCCAACCACUCUUAUUCAUUUAUUUAUUUAAUGAUUAUUUGGGGGGAGGAAUAACAUGACAGCCUGUACAUAAUUUAUUAUUUAUUGUAGGUAAGUCUUUUUGAAGCAGUAUUGUUCUGUGUGUUGUCCUUGGGACUUUCUGUAGUGAUAGACCUUUGACCCCAGAGAGAUUGUUCUGCUUCAUUGAAAGCACCAACAUGGACCCAGAGAAUGAUACUACUUCAACGAAGAUAUUUUAUUGAUUUUUGGAUAAUUAAGAACUUAAUAAUUGAAUAAACUAAUAACAAGAAGCCAAAUGUAUUUCCUUGAUGUUCCUGUUUAUUGAUUGUCUUUGUUGAUUGAUUGACUGAUUGAUUUCCAGUUGAUUUCUUAUUAUGUAUGAUUGUACUGCCAUCUUUCAAUACGUAACUUGUCUGCAGGCAGUCUUCUUGCCUUUCUACCUCUUGCUUUCUCACUUUGUACCUGUUCUGUAUAUUUGUGUCUGUCCAUGUAGUUGUCUGUUUUAUAGUUGGAAGAAUCACUGCCAGAAAACAUUGCUUAAAAGAUCUGACAGAUUGACCAAAGGUGGAUUUGAGGCAAACAGACAUUUAAAAAAAAUGAUGUAGUCAGUUGGAACUGUGUGGCACAGAACCCUGAGGUAAAUACACUUGUAUACAAUUGGGUUGAUUGAAUGUUUUAAUUUGAGAUGAUCAAUGUAAACUGGCAAGACCAGUAUAUUAAAGCCCAUACCUAUGCAUGCUUAUGGGAAGGAUGUGACAGGAUGGUUCUUCCACGUGGUCUCCCCUCCCUUCCUCCUCGGCCGUAAACCUAUAUCUUUCUCUCUUCCUCCCCCUCUCUCUUUCCCCUGCACGAGCGAACACCCUCUUCCAUCCCUUUCUCUUCUACUCCAUUCUCUUUCUUCUCCCCCUCCUCCCCUCCUCCCCAAAUAAAAGAAAAACAGCGGAGAAAGAGAAAAUAAACUCACAAAGAGAAUCCUGAUGUGUAUGUGUGUGGACGUCUUUGAACAGUGAGAAGGGACAUUGUUUUUUAUAUUGUGAGGAUGAGGAACGUCACCGAAAGCGUGCUUUUCUUUAUGGUCAGUGAACAC